rnacentral:rRNA from 1 species
CUCAGGGAGGUAGUGACAAGAUAUAACAACACUGGAAAUUUUAUUUCUAGUGAUUGGGAUGAUGGGAAUUUAAACCCCUUUCAGAGUCACGAUUGGAGGGCAAGUGUAGUGCCAGCAGCCGCGGUGAUUCCAGCUGCAAUAGCGUAUAUUAAAGUUGUUGCAGUUAAAGAGCUCGUAGUUGGAUGUCUGCUGGAUCCAAUCAGUCCGCCCUAUUUGUAGGGUGCGCACUUGAUGAAUUCUGGCAUUUUUGUCCCAAUGGUGUAAUGGGACGGUCUUGGGCGAAAGUUCAAUGGCCUGUUCCAGUCAGUGGGAUACUGUUACUUUGAGAAGAUUAGAGUGUUUGAAGCAGGCUAAUUGCCUUGAAUACUGCAGCAUGGAAUAACAAUAUAGGGUCUCGGUUCUACUUUGUUGGUUUCUAGGACUGAAAUAAUGAUUAAUAGGGACAGUUGGGUGCAUUCGUAUUUAGCUGUCAGAGUUGAAAUUCCCAGAUUUGUUAAAGACGAACUACUACGAGAGCAUUUGCCAAAGAUGUUUUCAUUAAUCAAGAACGAAAGUUAGGGGCUCGAAGACGAUCAGAUACCGUCGUAGUCUUAACCAUAAACUAUGCCGACUAGAGAUAGGAAAAUGUCAUUUUGCUGACUU